rnacentral:rRNA from 1 species
AUUGAACGCUGGCGGCAUGCCUUACACAUGCAAGUCGAACGGCAGCACGGGUGCUUGCACCUGGUGGCGAGUGGCGAACGGGUGAGUAAUAUAUCGGAACGUACCUUAUCGUGGGGGAUAACGCAGCGAAAGCUGUGCUAAUACCGCAUAAGCCCUAAGGGGGAAAGCAGGGGACCGUAAGGCCUUGCGCGAGUAGAGCGGCCGAUACCUGAUUAGCUAGAUGGUGAGGUAAAGGCUCACCAAGGCAACGAUCAGUAGCUGGUCUGAGAGGACGAUCAGCCACACUGGGACUGAGACACGGCCCAGACUCCUACGGGAGGCAGCAGUGGGGAAUUUUGGACAAUGGGGGCAACCCUGAUCCAGCAAUGCCGCGUGAGUGAAGAAGGCCUUCGGGUUGUAAAGCUCUUUUGUCAGGGAAGAAACAGCAGCUCUAAUACAGUAUGCGAAUGACGGUACCUGAAGAAUAAGCACCGGCUAACUACGUGCCAGCCGCCGCCGUAACAC